ACGGGUGAGUAAUACAUCGGAACGUGUCUUCUAGUGGGGGAUAACUGCCCGAAAGGGCAGCUAAUACCGCAUGAGACCUGAGGGUGAAAGCGGGGGAUCGCAAGACCUCGCGCUGGAAGAGCGGCCGAUGUCCGAUUAGCUAGUUGGUGAGGUAAAGGCUCACCAAGGCGACGAUCGGUAGCUGGUCUGGGAGGACGACCAGCCACACUGGAACUGAGACACGGUCCAA
rnacentral:rRNA from 1 species